AUUCUGAAUUCUGGUGAAAGUAAUCAUGUUCGCGUUGACUAUUUUAUAUCAAAAGGUUCCAAGGUUGUAACUAAAUUCUUCUACUUUUUCUGUGGUUUUAACUAACCUACUUCUGUCUGUAUUGAAGUUGUACUUGUUUUAUAUACUAUUAAAAUAAUGGUUGUUAAUACAUUUUUUACUAAAUAAAGUGAUACAAUUAAGAGGACGGAAAUACAGGAAAGGUUAUUAACAAAGAAAUGGACGUCCAAAAUGUUAAACAAGAAAUAGAUAACCACGAUGAUUUCCUGUUAAAUAUCGAUAUAAAAAAAGACUUAAUUGACGAAGUAUCUACAAUAAAAAUUCAAAAUACAAAUGAACAAAUAAAUGGAAUUCAUUUAAUCAAACAAGAAAUCAACGAUGACUUAAAUACAAAUGAAAUAUUUGAUAAUAAUGAGGAUGUAACUAAUAAACGAAAAAGGAACAUUUCGAGUACUCAAUUCAUACCAAACAAACCGGGAUAUUCGAAAGCAGCCCAUAGAAAGGAAAUUAAAUCUAAAGUUGUAGGGUUGAUAAGAGAUGGAAAAUAUUUGCAGCCAAAUGCUAUGGGGUUAAUGAUAUGUGUAUAUUGUGGGAAUUUAUACACGAAACAAGUAGAAUUGUUAUGCCACAUAACAAUCAAUCAUUGUAUAAAAGUAAACAAUUUUUAUAAGAUGAAACUUCAUCAUAAAAUUAGAAGUGGUACAUGUAUUAUGGAAAAUAUUGAUAUAAAAGAUGAAAUUGAAAUAAUUGAACAUGAAUUGAAAGUGGAGCUGCAGGACACUAAAAACCGUUUGGAUGUUGCCAAUAAUUUAAAUACAAGUCUAUAUAAUGGUUCGAAAUCCAUUCAAAUCAAUUCAAAUGUGGAUUCACAUACUUACAGAAGGUCAAAACCAUUAAAAUGUGACAUUAAUAGGAAACUUUCCUCUUAUGAAAAUAAUUUGAAUAUACAUAUGAAUACCCACAUAGGAAAUAAGCCAUUCAAAUGUGACAUUUGUUUGAAAAAUUUUGCACGUAAGGGAAACUUGAAGUCACAUUUGCGUAGUCAUACAGGAGAAAAGCCCUUCAAAUGUGACAUUUUCUUAAAACCAUUUUUACAGAAACAUGUUUUGAAGACACAUUUGCUUAAUCAUACUGGAGAAAAACCAUUUAAGUGUGAUAUUUGUUUCAAAACGUUUUCAGAUAAGAAUAAUUUGAAGACACAUUUGCGUAGUCAUACAGGAGAAAAGCCAUUCAAAUGUGACAUUUGUUUAAAAACUUUUUCCCAUAAAGGUAACUUGAAGAAACAUUUGAGUAUCCAUAUAGGAGAAAAGCCAUUCAAAUGUGAAUUUUGUUUCAAAACUUUUUCACAGUUAAUUGAGUUGAAGGCACAUUUUCGUAGUCAUACAGGAGAAAAGCCAUUUCAGUGUGACAUUUGUUUGAAAAAUUUUUCACGUGAAGAAAACUUCAAGACACAUUUGCGUGGUCAUACAGGAGAAAAGCCAUUCAAAUGUGACAUUUGUUUGAAAAAUUUUGCACAUAAGGGAAACUUGAAGUCACAUUUGCGUGGUCAUACAGGAGAAAAGCCAUUCAAAUGUGACAUUUGUUUGAAAAAUUUUACACGUAAGGGAAACUUAAAGUCACAUUUGCGUAGUCAUACAGGAGAAAAGCCCUUCAAAUGUGACAUUUGCUUAAAAACUUUUUCACAGAAACAUGUUUUGAAGACACAUUUGCGUAAUCAUACUGGAGAAAAACCAUUUAAGUGUGACGUUUGUUUCAAAACGUUUUCAGAUAAGAAUAAUUUGAAGAAACAUUUGCGUAGUCAUACAGGAGAAAAAUCAUUUUAAUGUAGGCUGGCCAUAAAAACUUUGUUCAGAAACGGGACAGUAGAUUAUUUUUGCGGUUGAGGUGUAGGGUACAGGAAAGAACUCAAAUGUGCCGGAAAUUCCAACAUUUCUUUUGCAUUUAAAUUUCAAAGCCUCUAAAACAUCAUUAUUUUUUGGAUGUUUAAUACAGGCCUAACCAAAAACUAAAUAAAAAUGUUUUGUAGUUCGGUAUGUUUAUACUAAACACUCAUUAUGUUUAUGAAAUUAUUGAAACAAAAUACAAAACAAGAUAUUUACAAAACUUCAAAACAUCCUCCUACAAAAUAUUUUUUUCCUAAAAUAAAACAAAUUCACCUCAAUUAAAUAGUUUGCUCUAUCAACAUGUAUACCAGUGACAGUUCAAUCAACAUUUUCACUUGAGUGUCCUGUUUGUUGUGUAGUUUCUUUUUUUGUUCCAAAAGUGCUUCUGGGAACUGCUUAUUCUUUUCAAUACAAUUUCGGUUUUUAUAGGCGUUUUGUCAAAUUCACCACAAGAAGGAUCGAAAUUCACUCGGGUAACAAGGGAUUUACCUUUUCGAUCUGUAGACGAGAUUUUUCAAAUGACCAAAUGUUAUUCAUCAGGGAAAAUACACGUUAAACUAGAGCUUAGUCAACACUGAGGUUAUUACAACAAAAACACGAGGUAUUACCUUACUUAUAAUUGGAAAAACUGACAAAAGUUACAUGAAUAUUUUAUAUAAGCAACGACCCGCCGCUAUAUUUUGCUUAGUAUUAAUAUCUACAUUCUGCGCAUGAGGAGGUCAUUGUUGCGUGGCGCCAUCUACAAACCACGGUCCACACCAACAACCUCAGCCACUGCAAAAUAAUCUUAUUGAUAGGAUGGAAUCUGUUUAUCUUUUAACACACACAAUUUUACACGGUUUUCUAUUGAAAAAAAAAUUACUUGAUAUUUGCUAAAACCCCGCCUUUCCCCCAAGUGAGAUUUGGAAAGAUUUAACUUUUGUCGAAAAAUGAGUGAUUUGAACCGCCCGCUGUCGUCUGGCUUGCAUUGCAGCAGCUUAUAAUUUAAUGGAAGAACCUCUUUUUUGUCGAUGGUGGCAGAGACAAUUGUUUUUACGGCGUUAUGAAUAUAGUGGCGAUCGAAUUAAUUCUAUACACUUGAUAACUGGUCCGGUUCGGAACAGUUCCAGUGCAGGUAUUAAGAACAAACCUUUAGUUAUAAAUGUAAGAAUUUUAUAGUGAAAUAAAACAUAUUUGCAAAAUAAGGUUUUGUGUUUACACAUAAAGCCCUUAGUAUUAUCACAAAUCUGCCGUAUCUGAAUUUAUUUAUAUUAUUUUAAACAGAAUAUACCGUAUCAAAAUAAUAUUAAUAAGUAGUGUAAACCACUGUAUUAUCUUGAAUUAUGACAGAUUUCGUUAAUUCAAUUAUAUCAAAUAAAAAAAAUGUAUAAUUACCCAUUUGGGGUGACUAUGCUGUUUUUGGCUUCCCCUGUAUAGUUGCAUUUUUUCAGAUACGGAGUAUUGUAGUUAGACCAUCGAUAUGUUUUGCUAAAUAAAAAUUUCUUCUUUUGUCAACAAAUAAGUGUAGUAUUUGUUUCUAACAGUCACUUCUUUAAACAAAAUAUUGUAACAACUGAAAUUAUUUAGAAAUAUACAAAACCUCAUUUAGAUUGAUAAUUAUUUUAAUCUCAAUACUAUAGUUCCAAUCAACUACUCCUCAAUUAAAUUAUUACAGCACUUUUAAAUAGUUUUUUUUAAUAAUUUUGACAGAAACAGAUUUAUUCAUUUCUUAUAUAUCUAUGGUUCGCAUUCUAAUUCUGGUGAACGUAAUCAUGUUCGUGUUGAAUAUUUUCUUUCAAAAGGUUCCAAGGUUGUAACUAAAUUCUUCUACUUUUUCUAUGGUUUCAACUAACCUACUUUUGUCUUUAUUGAAGUUGUAUUUGUUUUAUAUAUUAUUUAAAUAAUGGUUGUUAAUACAUUUUUUACUAAUUAAAGUGAUACAAUUAAGAGCACGAAAUUACAUGAAAGGUUAUUAACAAAGAAAUGGACGUCCAAAAUGUUAAACAAGAAAUAGAUAACCACGAUGAUUUCCUGUUAAAUAUCGAUAUAAAAAAAGAUUUCAUUGACGAAGCAUCUACAAUAAAAAUCCAAAAUACAAAUGAACAAAUAAAUGAAAUUCAUUCAAUCAAACAAGAAAUCGACGAUGACUUGAAUACAAAUAAAAUAUUUGAUAACAAUGUGGAUGCAACUAAUAAAACAAAAAGCAACAUUUCGAUUACUCAAUUCAUACUAAAUAAACCGGGAUAUUCGAAAGCUGCCCGUAGAAAGGGAAUUAAAUCAAAUGUUCUCUGGACGCGACAACCUAGUCAUUGGCCUUCUUCUAGUCAACAAUUGGCUCCCGUUUUUCUAGUUAUUGGCCACAGAAAGCAAGCGAGCAAGAAAAAAUAAAUUGGUGGUAUUUUUUAUGUAGAAUAAACUCCAUGCUCUGAAAUACAAAAAUAACAUAUAAGUAGGUAUGUAUAUAGUUAUAUAAUAUAUUUUCAAAAGUGGGUAGUUUAGAAACAAAACUUUUUUUAAUUUAUAUUAUUUGUAGGUAGGUAUAAUGUAUAAUCAUUAGGAUUUAUUCAAUAGAAAAUUGGAUCUAAAUAAGAAACAAUUAUUUAAAAAAGAUCUUUAAACGACUAAGGGUUGAAUUGACAAAUUAGUCUAAAACUGAUGGAAGCAGUAAAACCUAUUUGAACUACAUGGUCAUCACGAAAUAACAAAAAAAUCAAUAAAUAGCAGAUCAAAAUGGGUAAUGGUCAUUUACCCCUACAAAUAUGAUUUAUUUCCAUGGAAAAUUCGUAUCUCAGCCUAUCUUCUGCACUGUCUUUCAUUACUUGAGUAGGAAGUCCUUAUAAAAUUUGUUCUUGAGCUAUGAUGCUGACAUCUGUUUCAGCAAGUUUAAAUACAGUUUUUUGUUCAUCGAGGGCCAUUAUUUCAAAUUCUGCUCCAAAAUCGUAAUUAGAUCCAGACUCUUCCCAUUCUUCCUCUUCCUUUAAGUCUGUGGAAGACUCUAUUUUACGCCUUUUUGUUUUCUUUUUUAUCAGCAGGUUUACCUUUUUACUCUAUUCUAACACUUUUCCUUUCUCCUGUUUUUUCUUUAGCCGUUUUUCUGCUGUUACGUUUCUAAUUCUCUCUUUCACGUUUUUCAUUUUCUUUUCUAUGGUAAUAUUCCUGCCACUGUUCGGGCAACGUUCUGGAAUCUUUUCUCUUCUUUUCUUUCCCUCUGUCUCACUCUCUCUCCCCUAGCUAGAACUUUUUUGAAUCGAGUUGGUAUUAACUGACCAUCAACUACUGACUUUCUCUUAACCUUUUUCCUUUUUACGGUUAUCAUCACUGUUCUUCUCUUCUGUAGCUGCAGCCAGCUUUUGUUCAUUUGGUGUCUGGUGUGUUGGUACUCAAAUUGCUUGGAGAAUCCUUUGAUUUAUAUAAUUUUUUCUAUAGGUGUUCUGGUGUUUUUCGAUUAAGGCUAUUGGACGAACCUGUGACGUCCAAGACAUUCUCAAAAUCAGUGCUUGUCCAUUCUUCUUAUUCCUAUUAUUAUUGCUUCUACCUUCAUCAGUUUUUUUAUUUCUGUAAUUAUCAUUUUCACCUUUUGGUACAAAUUAAAUAAGGAUAAAUGUUGUAAAUCUCCAGACCACUCAAGUAUGGUGGCAUUGAAGCUCUUGUGUCCUUAAAAAUCUCAGUUCCUAUUCAUAUUCAUUUCCGGUGAGACUUUUAUUUUGGGAGUUCUGAUAAGAAAUCGUAGCAACAGGAGUAGGAUUUAGAACUUCUGUUGAAAUCUCUACCACUUAUAUGCUCCAAGGUACCAAACCACAUUUUCUAAAAACAUUUUGUAGAAUUUCCUUGGUAAUUCGACUCCAGAAUUUGAUUUAACAAAGAACAAAAAUCUUUUCCUUUCAAAAUAGGAUUUUCCAAGUGAUGCACUGCACCAUUCUUGCACUGCAAGUUUUCAGCCUUCUUUUAGGGUUCUAAAGAUGGCAACGUUCAUAGGUUGUAUUAAGUGUGCUGCGUUUGGAUACAGUGGAACUAAAAUAUCAAUACCUGGAUCACCACAAAAUUUGCUAGUGUAAUAGGUGAGAUGAGAUGAGAUGAAUACCCAUAAAUUUCAACUUUUUCUUGAAGAAGCCAAGGAUAGAAAGUGUUGGUAACGUAUUUAUAAAAUGUUGCGCGGUUCAUCCAGUCCGACUAUGAUUUACCUAUCGACCAGGAGCCGGGGACACUGUCGGAUAUGUCACGAGGUAUUCCGUCUUCUUCUUCAACGAUUAUUCCAACUCCUGCUGCUACUAGUUUAUGCUUAGCGACACCGCUGUAUAUUAGUACCUAUUUCGGUAUUUUGAUGCUUCUUUUCCCUUUGAGCCUAUCAAUGUCAAUUUCUAGUCGAGUUCGUGAAGGCUUGGACCGUCCUAUUCCGAAACUGAUCGUUGGAUCUGCGAGCAGAUAAAUUCUAUUUACGUCCGGCAGGUUGCUGGCCUCACCUGAUAACCCUCCUCCUUUACCCGGGCUUGGGACCGGCAGUAGCAGUCACCAGGCUACUCUAUCCACCCAGCAACCAACCACAGGUGUAGUUGAGGUAUUCUGUCAAAACAACCAUUGGUGGAGCUACUUUUCUAACAGCACUUGCAACCGUGUGAAUCUUCAUUUACUUUCUGGUGUACAAUUUUUUGUUCCCUGCUAGCUAACACUUUAUUUAAGGUAGAACGGCCAAUUACUGGGUGGUUUACCCAUGAUGUAUAGAAGGUUAAAAUCCAUUUGUUUGAAACCUGUUUCUAAUAAAGUAAAUAUGUGUAAUCACAGGAAAGUAAUCAAUUUUUCAUAAUUAUUAAACGCGUUUUUUACGUA